rnacentral:lncRNA from 1 species
CUUUAUGCGUAAUUACAUUUUUCCUAUACGGGGUUAUAUACAUCACAUGAAUUAUACCGAGACGAAACACGAUACCCGGUGCAUUCAGUGCAGAUACCUAUAGAAAUGUGAGAAUGAAAGAAUAAAAACGUCAGCUCGUCAACGCGGAUGUCACGAUCUGUCAUAGACGAUUUUGCUUUGUUUCUAUGAAUACGGAGGGAUCAUCGCCUCUGGAUUAGCGAAUUUUGUUUUUUAUUUUCAAACACACCGCCAGAUCUGUUUCGGCUAGCUGCGUGUGAAACGUCGGCGAGAUUGAAAAGCGAGACGCGUCAUCGCCUCGAUAGGUCUUUAAAGAACACCUGUUUUGGCGCCGGAUAUCAGAUUAGAUCUUUGUUACUGUCAUGUGUACAGUGCUACGUCCAGAAUCGCCGAUAAAAAUAAAACUCGAAUGAGCUACACACGUUUGUAUAAUUGUAUUUCUGCAACGAUCUAACGUAUAGCUAUACGGUAACUUGUGUUUAUCCAAGUUCCGAAUUGAGUCUCAUACUUAUUGUUAAGGAAAAUAGUCGACUUAUUAUUGUAGAGAAAAAGAUACCGUACAAAAAAAAAAAAAUACAAAAAUAGAAAAA